rnacentral:rRNA from 1 species
AUGCUGCCAGUGCUUGAGUGCGAUAAUGUAAACGACCGCGAAGGAGGCAGGCAUUAUUGGGUCUUCAACAUCAACCUGAGGGACAGACGUUUUGAAGUCCUUGGUUCAAACAGAAAGCUAGAAGACAUUGAGUUGAUGGACACCGCCUCUACGAUUGCGGGGGCAGUACGCCAGCUAUGGAGGAAGCAUUACGCAAAGCAGAGCAUCGAGCAUUUCCAGAUUAUUGACAUCGACGUACCGAAGCAGAUUAGCAACAAUGAGUGUGGUCUGUUCACACUACUUAACGCCACUGAGUGGAACGGGAGCCUACUGCCCAACUAUGAGCCCAAUGAAGAUCUCAACCUCAGGAAGAAGCUGGCAUAUGAUUGGGUCACCAGCACGCACAACUCUGCCCCACGGAGGAAGGUGCUGAGAUACGAAAAUGACUAG